GCAUAUCAAUAAGCGGAGGAAAAGAAACCAACAGGGAUUGCCUCAGUAACGGCGAGUGAAGCGGCAACAGCUCAAAUUUGAAAUCUGGCCCCCUCGGGGUCCGAGUUGUAAUUUGCAGAGGAUGUUUCGGGUACCGCUCCGGUUUAAAUUUCUUGGAACAGAAUGUCAGAGAGGGUGAGAAUCCCGUCUUGGACCGGUGGUAGGGCCCGUGUGAAACUCCUUCGACGAGUCGAGUUGUUUGGGAAUGCAGCUCAAAAUGGGUGGUAAAUUUCAUCUAAAGCUAAAUAUUGGCCAGAGACCGAUAGCGCACAAGUAGAGUGAUCGAAAGAUGAAAAGCACUUUGAAAAGAGAGUUAAACAGUAUGUGAAAUUGUUGAAAGGGAAGCGCUUGCAACCAGACUUGUGCGCGGCGGUUCCCCCUUCCUUUUGGUUGGGUUACUCCGCCGCGUCCAGGCCAACAUCGGUUCUGGGGGUCGGUCAAAGGCCUUGGGAAUGUACCUACCCUUCGGGCGUAGACUUAUAGCCCUCGGUGUCAUGCGGCCUCCCGGGACCGAGGAACGCGCUUCGGCUCGGAUGUUGGCGUAAUGGUUGUCAGCGACCCGUCUUGAAACACGGACC
rnacentral:rRNA from 1 species